rnacentral:rRNA from 1 species
CCUACGGGAGGCAGCAGUGAGGAAUAUUGGUCAAUGGACGCAAGUCUGAACCAGCGACGCCGCGUGAGUGAAGAAGUAUUUCGGUAUGUAAAGCUCUAUCAGCAGGGAAGAAAGAAAUGAUGGUACCUGACUAAGACGCCGCGGCCAACUACGUGCCAGCAGCCGCGGUAAUACGUAGGGGGCAAGCGUUAUCCGGAUUUACUGGGUGUAAAGGGAGCGUAGACGGCGAUGCAAGUCUGAAGUGAAAGGCGGGGGCCCAACCUCCGGACUGCUUUGGAAACUGUAUGGCUGGAGUGCAGGAGAGGUAAGUGGAAUUCCUAGUGUAGCGGUGAAAUGCGUAGAUAUUAGGAAGAACACCAGUGGCGAAGGCGGCUUACUGGACUGUAACUGACGUUGAGGCUCGAAAGCGUGGGGAGCAAACAGGAUUAGAUACCCGAGUAGUC